GCUCUUGCUGUGGAGGCUCGCACGCCGACAACGACAGCCCUCCAGCGUCGUGGCCAUGACCGCUGGCCGGAGAGCGCGGCGCGUCCCUCGGCGGAGGGCUCAGCAUUUCUGGAAGGUGUGACCUCACCAGUGAAAUCGAGAGGUCAGCGUGACCAAAAGACGACGGCUCCCUGGCACGUUCCCGGCAGCUCGGCCUUGGAGAAGAGCACAAGAGUGAACCUCAAUGCACAGCACCGAACCUGAAAGGGCAACAAAUAUGCCCUCACCUCCUCAGUGCCGCUCAGUGGGGGCAACUGCAGAGUAAGAGUCCAACCCCUCUCAAGAGGACUGGUACCAGAGUCCAAGCCGUGUGACAUGGCAAGCCCGACUCUGGCUGCGUCCAAAUACACAGGCUGAGUCCUCCUUUAUGCGCUCCACGGAGGCCACAUGAGGAGGAGCCUAUGACAGCGUCGAAGGACCCGGCGUGCAAUUUGUCUUUCU